rnacentral:rRNA from 1 species
UACGUAGGUGGCGAGCAUUGUCCGGAUUUACUGGGCGUAAAGGGAGCGUAGGCGGACUUUUAAGUGAGAUGUGAAAUACUCGGGCUCAACUUGAGUGCUGCAUUUCAAACUGGAAGUCUAGAGUGCAGGAGAGGAGAAUGGAAUUCCUAGUGUAGCGGUGAAAUGCGUAGAUAUUAGGAGGAACACCAGUGGCGAAGGCGGCUUACUGGACGGCAACUGACGCUGAGGCUCGAAAGCGUGGGGAGCAAACAGG